rnacentral:rRNA from 1 species
AACGAACGCUGGCGGCAUGCCUAACACAUGCAAGUCGAACGAGACCUUCGGGUCUAGUGGCGCACGGGUGCGUAACGCGUGGGAAUCUGCCCUGGGGUGCGGAAUAACUCGGAGAAAUCCGUGCUAAUACCGCAUAAUGUCUUUGGCCCAAAGAUUUAUCGCCCUGGGAUGAGCCCGCGUAAGAUUAGCUAGUUGGUGGGGUAAAGGCCUACCAAUGCGACGAUCUUUAGCUGGGCUGAGAGGAUGAUCAGCCGUACUGGUACUGAGACACGGCCCAGACUCCUACGGGAGUCAGCAGUUGGGAAUAUUGGACAAUGGGCGAAAGCCUGAGCCAGCAAUGCCGCGUGAGUGAUGAAGGCCUUAGGGUUGUAAAGCUCUUUUACCCGGGAUGAUAAUGACAGUACCGGGAGAAUAAGCUCCGGCUAACUCCGUGCCAGCAGCCGCCGCCG